GCAUAGGCACAGGUAUGCGCUCACACAUUAAUUUCUAAUGAAGGAAGCAGUCUUUGGCUAAGGAUGGAUGGGGUCUCAUGAACAAACAACCCACUCCAGUGUUGCGUGCCAUUGAGAGGCAACACAGAGUCUCACAAUGUCCUCAACAGGAGUAUGUUCUAGUCACUCAAGGCAUUAUCUUGCUGACUGCUGCACCAUUUAAUGACUGUUCUCUUUCUGGUCUCCUUUGAUGAGUCCUCUGUUCUGUCUUCAUCUCCAAGAUGACCAUUUGCCUUGAAACCCAUGCUUCAAGGUCUUUGCCCCAAGGGAAUCCAGAACCAGGUACUGCCCUGUGAGGGAGAAAGAUUUUUAUUGACUCCCUUAGUUUAGACCAAAAAAGAAAUGGAACCAGAGAAAGGUUGGCUAACUUGUGGAAGAUGAAAUGGCUGGAAAGAGACAAACCUUGGCAUCAAACUCAGGCUCAAAGUCUGUGUGGUAAACCCACUCCUGGGAGAACCACACAAUCACAGAGUGCUCUAGCUGCAUUUCCCUGGCUCUUGGAAACAGACUACAGGGCUAGGCCUCUUCUAAUCCAAGCAUCUCAACCAACAUCACAGAAGCAGAACGAAUAUUACAUGGUUCUCUGACCAUCCACCAUGUUUUAUUUCCAACUGAUCUCUCUCUGAAUUCCCUACUCU
rnacentral:lncRNA from 1 species